rnacentral:rRNA from 1 species
AUACGGAGGGUGCAAGCGUUAAUCGGAAUUACUGGGCGUAAAGCGCGCGUAGGCGGAUAUUUAAGUCUCAUGUGAAAGCCCUGGGCUCAACCUGGGAACUGCAUGGGAUACUGGGUAUCUAGAAUACAGUAGAGGGUAGUGGAAUUUCAGGUGUAGCGGUGAAAUGCGUAGAGAUCUGAAGGAACAUCAGUGGCGAAGGCGACUACCUGGACUGAUAUUGACGCUGAGGUGCGAAAGCGUGGGGAGCAAACGGGAUUAGAAACCCUUGUAGUCC